rnacentral:rRNA from 1 species
CGGGAAAAGCUCAAAUUUAAAAGCCUUCGGGCGUUGUAAUCUAUAGAAGUGUUUUCGAUCGUUGCCUUGGUUAAGUCUCUUGGAACAGAGUGUCAUAGAGGGUGAGAAUCCCGUCUUUACCAAGCUCCCAACGUUCAUAUGAUACACUUUCAAA